rnacentral:rRNA from 1 species
GUCAGGUCCAGGUGUAGCCAAUAGGGUGGAUGUAAUGGGCUACAUUUUCUAAAAUAGAAAUAUUCACGGACAGACCCUUGAAACAGGGACUAAUAAGUUGGAUUUAGCAGUAAUC